UACAGAGACUGCGAGCGUUGUUCGGAAUUACUGGGCGUAAAGGGCGCGUAGGCGGCCCGCUAAGUCGAACGUGAAAUCCCCGAGCUCAACUCGGGAACUGCGUCCGAUACUGGCGGGCUUGAAUCCGGGAGAGGGAUGCGGAAUUCCAGGUGUAGCGGUGAAAUGCGUAGAUAUCUGGAGGAACACCGGUGGCGAAGGCGGCAUCCUGGACCGGCAUUGACGCUGAGGCGCGAAAGCUAGGGGAGCAAACGGG
rnacentral:rRNA from 1 species